rnacentral:rRNA from 1 species
UACGUAGGGUGCAAGCGUUAAUCGGAAUUACUGGGCGUAAAGCGUGCGCAGGCGGUUGUGCAAGACAGAUGUGAAAUCCCCGGGCUCAACCUGGGAAUUGCAUUUGUGACUGCACGGCUAGAGUGUGUCAGAGGGGGGUAGAAUUCCACGUGUAGCAGUGAAAUGCGUAGGGAUGUGGAGGAAUACCGAUGGCGAAGGCAGCCCCCUGGGAUAACACUGACGCUCAUGCACGAAAGCGUGGGGAGCAAACAGG